AAAAGGAAAAAAUGAAGGUUUUUGGGGUGUAGCGUGUGAGGGUGGUAUUUCUACACGUGUGUAUGUGUUCAGAAGUCAGAGGCACUGGAUCCUCCGGAGCUGGGAUUACUGGCUGUUCUGAGACACCUGACAUGGAUGCUGGGAACCUAACUCGGGUCUUCUGGUAGAGCAGCAAGUGGUCUUACUGGCUGAGCCACGUCUUCAGCUGCAAAGGGGAAAGGUUUUUUAGAGCGGUUCUCCAAAAAUCAGAAGCAUCAGUAAAACUCGGUGCUUCAUCUACAUGUACAUACGUCUAUGUAUCUUGUAUGCGUCUGCAAGAGGCCAGAGGAGGACAUCAGAUUCCCUGAGACUGGUAAUGUAGACAGAUGUUAGUCA